GCUGGGUAUGGUGGCGCAUGCCUAUAAUCCCAGCAGCUCACGAGGCUGAGGCAGGAGGUUUGCAAGUUCAAAGCCAGCCUCAGCCACUUAGCAAGACCCUGUGUCAA
rnacentral:sRNA from 1 species